rnacentral:rRNA from 1 species
GACAGAGGGUGCAAACGUUGUUCGGAAUUACUGGGCGUAAAGCGCGUGUAGGCGGCUAAGUAAGUCGGGCGUGAAAUCCCACGGCUCAACCGUGGAAGUGCACUCGAAACUGCAUAGCUAGAGUCCUGGAGAGGAAGGUGGAAUGCUUGGUGUAGAGGUGAAAUUCGUAGAUAUCAAGCGGAACACCGGUGGCGAAGGCGGCCUUCUGGACAGUGACUGACGCUGAGACGCGAAAGCGUGGGAGCAAACAGGG